CAGAAAAUAGUUUAAUAAAAAAAUGUUAGUUUUGGAAACUGAUGAUGAAAGAUCUUUUCUUUUCUGA
rnacentral:tRNA from 1 species